rnacentral:rRNA from 1 species
UCGCUGCAUCAGGCUUCCGCCCAUUGUGCAAUAUUCCCCACUGCUGCCUCCCGUAGGCCAGCAUAUAAUGUUGGCUGUCCAAAUGCCUAAAAAGCAUUUGUUAGCAAGGGCCGGGCAAGACCGGUGCCAGCCGCCGCGGUAACACCGGCGGCCCGAGUGGUAACCGUUUUUAUUGGGUCUAAAGGGUCUGUGGCCGGCCAUGUAAGUCCCUUGGGAAAUCUGGCAGCUCAACUGUCAGGCUGCCAGGGGAUACUGCUUGGCUUGGGACCGGGAGAGGUGAGAGGUACUUUGAGGGUAGGGGUGAAAUCUUGUGAUCCUCGGGGGACCACCAGUGGCGAAGGCGUCUCACCAGAACGGGUCCGACGGUAAGGGACGAAAGCUAGGGGCACGAACCGGAUUAGAUACCCUGGUAGUCC